UGUGUGGUUCUAUUUUGUUGGUUUCUAGGACCGCCGUAAUGAUUAAUAGGGAUAGUCGGGGGCAUCAGUAUUCAAUUGUCAGAGGUGAAAUUCUUGGAUUUAUUGAAGACUAACUACUGCGAAAGCAUUUGCCAAGGAUGUUUUCAUUAAUCAGGGAACGAAAGUUAGGGGAUCGAAGACGAUCAGAUACCGUCGUAGUCUUAACCAUAAACUAUGCCGACUAGGGAUCGGGCGAUGUUAUACUUUGACUCGCUCGGCACCUUACGAGAAAUCAAAGUUUUUGGGUUCUGGGGGGAGUAUGGUCGCAAGGCUGAAACUUAAAGAAAUUGACGGAAGGGCACCACCAGGAGUGGAGCCUGCGGCUUAAUUUGACUCAACACGGGGAAACUCACCAGGUCCAGACAUAACUAGGAUUGACAGAUUGAUAGCUCUUUCAUGAUUUUAUGGGUGGUGGUGCAUGGCCAUUCUUAGUUGGUGGAGUGAUUUGUCUGGUUAAUUCCGACAACGAACGAGACCUUAACCUGCUAAAUAGCCAGGCCGGCUUUUGCUGGUCGCCGGCUUCUUAGAGGGACUGUCAGCGUAUAGCUGACGGAAGUUUGAGGCAAUAACAGGUCUGUGAUGCCCUUAGAUGUUNUGGGCCGCACGCGCGCUACACUGACAGAGCCAGCGAGUUUUUCNCCNUGGCCGGAAGGUCUGGGUAAUCUNGUGAAACUCUGUCGUGC
rnacentral:rRNA from 1 species